UUACCGGUUCGCGCACGAUCACUGAAGUUAAGCAACGUCGAGCCUGGUCAGUACUAAUAUGAAUGACCGCUUGGGAAUAUCAGGUGCUAUAA